AAACGACUCUCGGCAACGGAUAUCUCGGCUCUCGCAUCGAUGAAGAACGUAGCGAAAUGCGAUACUUGGUGUGAAUUGCAGAAUCCCGUGAACCAUCGAGUCUUUGAACGCAAGUUGCGCCCCAAGCCUUCAGGCCGAGGGCACGUCUGCCUGGGUGUCAC
rnacentral:rRNA from 1 species